rnacentral:rRNA from 1 species
GACGAACGCUGGCGGCGUGCUUAACACAUGCAAGUCGAACGGAAAGGCCCUGCUUUUGUGGGGUGCUCGAGUGGCGAACGGGUGGGUAACACGUGAGUAACCUGCCCUUGACUUUGGGAUAACUUCAGGAAACUGGGGCUAAUACCGGAUAGGAGCUCCUGCUGCAUUGUGGGGGUUGGAAAGUUUCGGCGGUUGGGGAUGGACUCGCGGCUUAUCAGCUUGUUGGUGGGGUAGUGGCUUACCAAGGCUGUGACGGGUAGCCGGCCUGAGAGGGUGACCGGCCACAUUGGGACUGAGAGACGGCCCAGUCUCCUACGGGAGGCAGCGGGGGGGAGUAUUGCACAAUGGGCGGAAGCCUGAUGCAGCAACGCCGCGUGUGGGAUGACGGCCUUCGGGUUGUAAACCGCUUUCGCCUGUGACGAAGCGUGAGUGACGGUAAUGGGUAAAGAAGCACCGGCUAACUACGUG